UACGUAGGGAGCAAGCGUUGUCCGGAAUCAUUGGGCGUAAAGGGCGCGUAGGCGGUCGUGACAAGUCACUUGUGAAAUCUCCGGGCUUAACUCGGAACGGUCAAGUGAUACUGUCGGACUAGAGUACAGAAGGGGCAACUGGAAUUCUCGGUGUAGCGGUGAAAUGCGUAGAUAUUCGCAAGAACACCAGUGGCGAAGGCGGCUCACUGGCCCGAUACUGACGCUGAGGUGCGAAAGCGUGGGGAGCAAACAGG
rnacentral:rRNA from 1 species